rnacentral:lncRNA from 1 species
GGAAAGUCAAAGAAGGGAAACCAAAUUCACAAAAUCCUAACUUACUAAGCCAGAGGCUGAGUGCCCUGUUUCAGGUUGUAAGGGGCAGCUGCACUCUUUCAAGGCAGUGCCCCUUGGCAGCCUGUGAAGUAGGGUGCAGGCUUCCAGGAGAUGGUGUAUGCCCAGUAACGGGAAGUGGGAAGUUGAGUCUGCCCAGCUUCCACUUGCUACCCAGUGCUGUUCUCCUGCCCUGCUUCUCAGUCACCACGAACUAAGAAGUUUUGUUCUAUCAUACUCUUCUACCAUGCCAUUUCUGCCUUGAAGCAAAUCAACCAUGAAUUCCACCCUCUGAAACCAUGACACAGAUAAACCUCUCAUCCUUUAAGCGGUGGGUAUAAGAUAUUUGUCUCAGCUAUAAGAAAGCUGACUAAUGCAGAACAUUGGUACCAGAGAAGUGAAAGUCAUUGCUAUAAAUGUACUUGAUCAUAUGGUUCAGAAGCCUUUGGAACUGGUUUGUGGGAAGAGUCUUGAAAAAGCCUGGAGAAAGCCUACAAUAUUACAAGCAGAUCUUGAUGAAUGACUCUUGCUAGAGCUCAAAGAUAAGAAUGUUGGUAAUAACAUGGACAGUAUGAGAUUUCAGUUGGGAACUCUAUUGGGAAUUAGGCUAAAGGUCAUGCAUGUUAUACUCUACCACAAGUUCUCUAAUUUUGUUCAUACUCUAAGACUAAAUUUUAGGCCCAUGAGCCAAGAGAAAAAAUCAAGGCAGCCCAAUAUUCAGGCAGUGGUAUGUGUACUUCUGGUUUUUUAAUCCAGAUUUGUAGUGAGAAUCAGGAGCAAAAAACAGAUCAGAAAGUUUUGAAAAGCAUAAGUUUUGACCAGAAAAUUAGCAUAUGUAAAGUUAGCAUCAAGGAGAGUAUGGUUCCUAAAAAAAUUAAUGCUUUUUAAAAGACACCAAAUACUGUGAACUAGGACAAGAAGAAAGAUGUUUUGAGGGCACCUCAGGAACUGGCAAGACUGCAUCCAUCAUAGACUCUAAGGUACAAAAGUGUAGAUCUUUCAUUUGAAGAAAGAGACCCUGGGACCCUUUUCAAGAAGGUCCAUUUAGGAAAUUGGUUUCCCUGGAUUCAUUUCACUGUGUUCAGCCAUCCAGGCCCUCAGAGGCCACUUUAUUGCUCACAUUGGUGGCAGAUCUUGGCACUAUCCACAUAAUGCUGAUUUUUUUGGUAUACAGAAUGCUAUGGAAACAUUAAGGCUUCCACUCAGAUUUUAAAGAAAGGCCUUGAACACCAGGCAAAAAUGUGUGACAGUGUCAGUGUCCCUGCCAGAAGCUACUGAGAGCACAAUGGGUGUAGCUGUAGGAAUGAAGCCAAAGGUAUAAUGGAGACCCCAGGAAACUAGGGAUUUUAGGAGCAAGGAAAGCUGUGGCAACGAGUACAGCCAGCCCAGGAUAGAGGUCAUGUGAGCUGAAACUGGCAAAACCAUAGGGAUGGUGUUGCCCAAACCCUUUGGCACUCACAUUUCACCACCAUGUUCCCUGGAUUCCAGACGUGUAGCUAUAAGAUCUAACACUUGCCUUGCUGGUUUUCAGUCUUGCUUUGGUCCUAUUCUUCUUUAUUUCCUCCCCUUAUUCAUUUCUCUUUUUGAGAUGAGAGUGUUUACCCUGUACAGUUUUAUAUUGAGAAUAUGUAACUUGCUUUUUGAAUUUUCAGACGUUUGUAGCCAAGGGCUUACUUUGAGUCUCAGGGGAUAUUUUGAACUUAAAUUUAUGAAUAAUGCUGGAAUUGGUGAAACUUUAGGGUGGACAUUGAAGGACCCUAGUUAGUAAGACAGACUCCAUAUUGCUGCUUGACCCACCUGCCUGCCCUUUACAUGAACUCAGAAGGAGGAAGCUUAGAAACCUCCUCCCCUUAGAGUUUCUUAGAAGCAACAAUUAAUCAACUAUUGUUUUACAAAUGUUCUAAGGACAGGGUGUUCAGCUUCUGUACCUUUUGCUUGCUUUGCUAGUUCUAUCCCAUAGGGGGCCCCAGAAACUGCUGGCCUCAAAGAUGCAUAAAAUAUGUUAAUCUCCCCCAGUCAGGGCUUGAGUCUGAUGCUUGGCUCAGGUCCCAGCCAGUAAUAAACUGCUGUGUG